rnacentral:rRNA from 1 species
GCAUCAUGAUUUACAUUUGAGUGAGUGGCGAACUGGUGAGUAACACGUGGGAAACCUGCCCAGAAGCGGGGGAUAACACCUGGAAACAGAUGCUAAUACCGCAUAACAACUUGGACCGCAUGGUCCGAGUUUGAAAGAUGGCUUCGGCUAUCACUUUUGGAUGGUCCCGCGGCGUAUUAGCUAGAUGGUGAGGUAACGGCUCACCAUGGCAAUGAUACGUAGCCGACCUGAGAGGGUAAUCGGCCACAUUGGGACUGAGACACGGCCCAAACUCCUACGGGAGGCAGCAGUAGGGAAUCUUCCACAAUGGACGAAAGUCUGAUGGAGCAACGCCGCGUGAGUGAAGAAGGGUUUCGGCUCGUAAAACUCUGUUGUUAAAGAAGAACAUAUCUGAGAGUAACUGUUCAGGUAUUGACGGUAUUUAACCAGAAAGCCACGGCUAACUACGUGCCAGCAGCCGCGGUAAUACGUAGGUGGCAAGCGUUGUCCGGAUUUAUUGGGCGUAAAGCGAGCGCAGGCGG